UGUCUGUGUGUCUGCCUACCACGAUUAAU
rnacentral:sRNA from 1 species